GGUGCUAUGGCGCAAUGGUAGCGUGUGGUCCUCCUAAGACUGAGGUUGUGGGUUCGAGUCCCACUAGCAUCG
rnacentral:tRNA from 1 species